CGAUCCGAUGCACACCUCUACUGGGUUAUACUUUCAUUAGAAGUCAGAUUUAAACAACUUUACUUCAACCAAAGGCGGAUGGAGGUCAGAUUCCAAUGAGAAUCUUUGGUUUAAAUGCACUCCAGGUGCAUUGAACUGGAGCCUAAUGAAAGCCACCUAUAUAUUUACAUAUUAUAUUUUUACAUUUCAAAUAAUUUCAUACCAUCAAUUUCCUGCCAAUUGACGGCCACUUCAGUGAUUGGAAUAUUUAGUCUCUGAGCAAUGUACAAUAGCUCCACAUCAAAAGCCCUGAAAAUUUAAUGACAUACAUCAACCAUUAGAGACUCUUGAAAACACUCGACACUUGUUUCUGUA